CACACAAAUUUAUUAUCUAUUCAAAGUUUCAUAAAAAAAUUAGGAGGUCAAAAAAUGGCUGUUGUUUACCAAAAAACGCAUUGGUUCUUGGCCAUCUCCUUCUUGUUCUGCUUCUUCUUGAUCACUUGUCAAGCAAGAAAUUUGCGAGUGGACCGUUAUGAAGCUCAAAAGAGUGACCAACAACAAGUUGUUGUAAGGAAUAAAGAGCAAUCAAAGUAUGAAGACUCAGUAGCAAUAGACUUAGAUUAUACUCCUGCUAGAAAGAAACCUCCUAUUCAUAAUUAAGAAAAUUUAUACAAACUUGGAGGUUUUAUCCCAUGGGGAAUCCAAAAUUUGGAGUCAGCCAUCAGUGAGUUCUACUUUUUAUACAAGUGUUGUUUUUGUAAACACAUAUAGCCCGAGUUAGACGCAGUAAAUUCUAUCAAACUCGUUGUGUCUGGUCUAGAUCCUGAAUGUCAUAAGUUUUAUCAUGUACUACUUUUGUUUCCAAAAUAUACUUUGUAACUUGGAGGUAAGAAAAACUAAUAAUUAAAAAGAAUUGGGAGAGUAUAAUCAUAGAGGGUAUUUAAGGAGAUAUAUGGGAGAAGGAUUUUUGAGAAAUUUGAAUAUAUCGAAUUAAUGUUGAUGAGACUUGUAUACAUAUACACCUUUAUGAAGAUAUAUAAAGCUUCAAAUGAUAAUUCUGAGAGA